ensembl:misc_RNA Metazoa_SRP Metazoan signal recognition particle RNA
GCCAGGCAUGGUGGUGCAUACCUGUAAUCCCAGCUACUCAGGAGGCUGAGGCAGGAGAAUUGCUUGAACCUGGGGGAGUGGAGGUUGCAGUGAGCCAAGAUUUGUGUCACUGAACUCCAGCCUGGGUGACAGAGCGAGACUCUGUCUCUA